UGGGGAAUAUUGCACAAUGGGCGCAAGCCUGAUGCAGCCAUGCCGCGUGUGUGAAGAAGGCCUUCGGGUUGUAAAGCACUUUCAGCGGGGAGGAAGGCGGUGAGGUUAAUAACCUCAUCGAUUGACGUUACCCGCAGAAGAAGCACCGGCUAACUCCGUGCCAGCAGCCGCGGUAAUACGGAGGGUGCAAGCGUUAAUCGGAAUUACUGGGCGUAAAGCGCACGCAGGCGGUCUGUCAAGUCGGAUGUGAAAUCCCCGGGCUCAACCUGGGAACUGCAUUCGAAACUGGCAGGCUAGAGUCUUGUAGAGGGGGGUAGAAUUCCAGGUGUAGAGGUGAAAUGCGUAGAGAUCUGGAGGAAUACCGGUGGCGAAGGCGGCCCACUGGACGAAGACUGACGCUCAGGUGCGAAAGCGUGGGGAGCAAACAGG
rnacentral:rRNA from 1 species